CGUUGUCCGGAAUCACUGGGCGUAAAGGGCGCGUAGGCGGCUUGAUAAGCGUGCGGUGAAAGCCCGGGGCUCAACCCCGGGUCGGCCGUGCGAACUGUCGAGCUGGAGCACUGUAGAGGCAGGUGGAAUUCCGGGUGUAGCGGUGGAAUGCGUAGAGAUCCGGAAGAACACCGGUGGCGAAGGCGGCCUGCUGGGCAGUGGCUGACGCUGAGGCGCGACAGCGUGGGGAGCAAACAGG
rnacentral:rRNA from 1 species